UUCCAGCGGUUGUGUACGACGAGGC
rnacentral:piRNA from 1 species